UACGGAGGGAGCUAGCGUUAUUCGGAAUUACUGGGCGUAAAGCGUACGUAGGCGGCUUUGUAAGUAAGAGGUGAAAGCCCGGAGCUCAACUCCGGAACUGCCUUUUAGACUGCAUCGCUUGAAUCCAGGAGAGGUGAGUGGAAUUCCGAGUGUAGAGGUGAAAUUCGUAGAUAUUCGGAAGAACACCAGUGGCGAAGGGCGGCUCACUGGACUGGUAUUGACGCUGAGGUACGAAAGCGUGGGGAGCAAACAGG
rnacentral:rRNA from 1 species